CCUAAGCAAAGGUGCCAAGUGGCAGUGAGGGCUGGGGAGAACAAGCAGAGAGGCGGCCUUCCAACAAGAGCGAGCACAAGGCCCCAAUGAGCUGUCCAAACUGAGCACAAACUCGCCGUGGGGCAGGUGAAGGUCCUUCCUGCUGUGGCCGGGUGCUGGUGUGUCCGGCCACCUGAAGUUUUAACGCUGGCCUGAAAUAAAGCCCUGCCUGGGGGGAGUCCAAGGAAACGGCAUUUCCUGCCUCUGGAGGCUUAAGCUGUGGGUCCAGCAUCCCCAGGUCCCCACACAACAUCGGGGUAGUCUCUGGGGCUUGCUUGUUUUCACAGAUGCCUCACAGGGGAUUGGUCUGUCCUGCCUGGUCUUCAGCUCUGACCCAGUGAGGCCACCCAGGGGAGGAGGGUCUGCCCUGCCUCUCCCACCUCCCACUGCUGGGGUGCCCUGCCACCACCAGGUGGAGACAGCCAGUAACCAAGUGAGCAGGCACGGAAGACCUGUUCCAGUGCAGAGGAGGCUCUGAGGAAACCCUCAAAGGCGGUGUCCGUGUUUGUCAGUAUGCCGGUGCCUAUAAGGCGGACGUGUCACUGACAUGAAGGCAGGGCAGCACCCACAUAGGAGGGCUGCGAGGGUCCCUCCUCCCGACCUUCCACAGACAAGUUCGUCCACAGGGCCUAGCUGCUGGUAAGGUGAGCUCCGCCUUGACAGUGUAGGCUGCCCAUUUCAGACUUUCGCUGAAUUUCCUCUGUUUGGUCUGGAGCUUCUGGCCCAGAAGUCUUUACCCUCAGCCAUCCUCUGACCUUCACACCACCCCACGGACAGCGGUGACCACAGGAGAUGGGGGAAUGGGGGCAGUGGCCCGGAGGGGCCAUGGAGC